rnacentral:rRNA from 1 species
GAUGAACGCUGGCGGCGUUCCUAAUACAUGCAAGUCUAGCGAACGGACGAGAAGCUUGCUUCUCUGAUGUUAGCGUCGGACGGGUGAGUAACACGUUGAUAACCUACCUAUAAGACUGGGAUAACUUCGGGAAACCGGCGCUAAUACCGGAUAAUAUUUUUAACCUCAUGGUUCAACAGUGAAAGACGGUCUUGCUGUCACUUAUAGAUGGAUCCGCGCUGCAUUAGCUAGUUGGUAAGGUAACGGCUUACCAAGGCAACGAUGCAUAGCCGACCUGAGAGGGUGAUCGGCCACACUGGAACUGAGACACGGUCCAGACUCCUACGGGAGGCAGCAGUAGGGAAUCUUCCGCAAUGGGCGAAAGCCUGACGGAGCAACGCCGCGUGAGUGAUGAAGGUCUUCGGAUCGUAAAACUCUGUUAUUAGGGAAGAACAUAUGUGUAAGUAACUGUGCACAUCUUGACGGUACCUAAUCAGAAAGCCACGGCUAACUACGUG